GUCUCUGGUUCGGCAGCACAUAUACUAAAAUUGGAAUGAUACAGAGAAGAUUAGCAUGGCCCCUGCGCAAGUUCUGCUUUUUUGAGAUUCUGUCUUGGAGAUCUAU
rnacentral:snRNA from 1 species